rnacentral:rRNA from 1 species
GACGAACGCUGGCGGCGUGCUUAACACAUGCAAGUCGAACGGAAAGGCCCUGCUUUCGUGGGGUGCUCGAGUGGCGAACGGGUGAGUAACACGUGAGUAACCUGCCCUUGACUUUGGGAUAACUUCAGGAAACUGGGGCUAAUACCGGAUAGGAGCUCCUGCUGCAUGGUGGGGGUUGGAAAGUUUCGGCGGUUGGGGAUGGACUCGCGGCUUAUCAGCUUGUUGGUGGGGUAGUGGCUUACCAAGGCUUUGACGGGUAGCCGGCCUGAGAGGGUGACCGGCCACAUUGGGACUGAGGUACGGCCCAGACUCCUACGGGAGGCAGAAGUGGGGAAUAUUGCACAAUGGGCGGAAGCCUGAUGCAGCAACGCCGCGUGCGGAAUAACGGCCUUCGGGGUGUAAACCGCUUUCGCCUGUGACGAAGCGUGAGUGACGGUAAUGAGUAAAGAAGCACCGGCUAACUACGUG